rnacentral:piRNA from 1 species
UUACUUUCUUUCCCUGUCUUU